rnacentral:rRNA from 1 species
AAGGUGGGGAUGACGUCAAAUCAUCAUGCCCCUUAUGUCUAGGGCUACACACGUGCUACAAUGGUGAGGACAAAGAGACGCAAGACCGCGAGGUGGAGCAAAUCUCAACAAACCUCAUCCCAGUUCGGAUUGCAGGCUGAAACUCGCCUGCAUGAAGCCGGAGUUGCUAGUAAUCGCGAAUCAGCAUGUCCGCGGUCCGAAUACGUUCCGGGCCUU